UUCUUUCCGGAAUAUUCUUCAGCAAACCGUGACUCAGGGAACUCGUGAUUGUCCUUGCACUAACAGUUUUGGAUAGACUGUUUUUCGAUGAAUAUGUCUGACUGCUUUUUGAACUCACAUAUGGACAAACGGCCUCUACCAUCCUGUAGCAAAGAAUCUGAGAGUGCUCCAUAAGGAAUAACACCAAAAGAUGAGCAAAACUUUUUAUGCGAAAUUAGAAGCUGACCUCAUGUUGGAUCAAACUUCAUGAUAAGGAAAUCACUUUGUGGAGUUACGCCUGACAGACAUCUGUCUCCAAAAUAAAUGUAAGAGUUCUGGUUACUGCUUAACACACAUAAGGGACAAUUAUGUGUGUGACAAUUACCUAUCUGUAAGGAAAGAGGCAACCAAAAUGAAAAAUAGAAGAGAGAAAUAAUUUCUCAUAAGCUUCCACUGAAAGGAAAAAGACAAAAAAAUAAAGACAAAAGCAAACAGGCAAUAAUAGUACACCUCAGAUGAAGAGCCACGAGAUACUAGAGAUGCAGCCAGUCCCACACUAACUUUAAACAGGAACAGUGUGAAGGACUGUUAGGGCACG